rnacentral:rRNA from 1 species
GAGUUUGAUCCUGGCUCAGGACGAACGCUGGCGGCGUGCUUAACACAUGCAAGUCGACGGUGAUUGUAAUUAGUGGCGGACGGGUGAGUAACGCGUGAGAGCUGUCCUAUGCAGGGGGACAACAGCUGGAAACGGCUGCUAAUACCCCAUAAGCCGAGAGGUAAAAGGAUAAGGCAGAGGAGGUACUCGCGUCCUAUCAGCUAGUAGGUGAGGUAACGGCUCACCUAGGCGAAGACGGGUAGCCGGCCUGAGAGGGCGAACGGCCACACUGGAACUGAGAUACGGUCCAGACUCCUACGGGAGGCAGCAGUGGGGAAUAUUGGGCAAUGGGGGAAACCCUGACCCAGCGACGCCGCGUGGGUGAAGAAAUCCUUCGGGAUGUAAAGCCCUGUUGUAUGGGAAGAGAGACGGUACCAUACGAGGAAGCCCCGGCAAACUACGUGCCAGCAGCCGCGGUAAUACGUAGGGGGCAAGCGUUGUCCGGAAUUACUGGGCGUAAAGCGCACGCAGGCUGACUUAUAAGUCGGUAGUCUAAUGCGGAGGCUCAACUUCCGUUUAUCUAUCGAUACUGUAAGACUAGAGUAUGUGAGAGGGAAGCGGAACUCCCGGUGUAGCGGUGAAAUGCGUAGAUAUCGGGAGGAACACCAGUGGCGAAGGCGGCUUCCUGGCACAAUACUGACGCUCAUGUGCGAAAGCUAGGGAGCGAACGGGAUUAGAUACCCCGGUAGUCCUAGCCGUAAACGAUGGAUACUAGGUGUGGGUGUCGCAGGGCAUCCGUGCCGCAGUUAACGCGUUAAGUAUCCCGCCUGGGGACUACGGUCGCAAGACUGAAACUCAAAGGAAUUGACGGGGGCCCGCACAAGCGGUGGAUGAUGUGGAUUAAUUCGAUGCAACGCGAAAAACCUUACCUACCCUUGACAUUCCAGAACCUGAAGAGAUUUGGGGUGCCAAAGGAAUUGGACACAGGUGCUGCAUGGCUGUCGUCAGCUCGUGUCGUGAGAUGUUGGGUUAAGUCCCGCAACGAGCGCAACCCUUAUCAUUAGUUGUACGAAGGGCACUCUAAUGAGACUGCCGGUGACAAACCGAGGAAGGUGGGGAUGACGUCAAGUCCUCAUGGCCCUUAUGGGUAGGGCUUCACACGUCAUACAAUGGUCGGUACAGAGGGUUGCCAAGCCGCGAGGUGGUGCCAAUCCCAGAAAGCCAUCGUAGUCCGGAUUAUUCUCUGCAACUCGAGAGCAUGAAGUCGGAAUCGCUAGUAAUCGCGGAUCAGAUGUCGCGGUGAAUACGUUCCCGGGUCUUGUACACACCGCCCGUCACACCAUGGGAGUGGAAUCUGGCAGAAGUAGGUAGCCUAACCGCAAGGAGGGCGCUUACCACGCUGGGUUUCAUGACUGGGGUGAAGUCGUAACAAGGUAGCCGUAGGGGAACCUGCGGCUGGAUCACCU